GGGGUCCAUCCUGAGAUCAGCACUGGGCACAGACCUCCACCAUGGAGGGGGCUCUGACCUGGGUUUUCCUUGUGGCCAUUUUACAAGGUGUGCAGUGUGAGGUGCGGCUGGUGGAGUCUGGGGGAGGCUUGGUGCAGCCUGGGAGGUCCCUGAGACUCUCCUGUGCAGCCUCCGGAUUCACCUUCAGUGAUUACUACAUGCACUGGGUCCGCCAGGCUCCAGGGAAGGGGCUGGAGUGGGUGGCGGUUAUAUGGUAUGAUGGAAGCCAGCAAAAAUACAUGGAGUCUGUGAAGGGCCGGUUCACCAUCUCCAGAGACAACUCCAAGAACAUGCUGUACCUGCAAAUGAACAGCCUGAAAGCAGAGGACACGGCUACGUAUUACUGUGCUGCACACAGUGCAUGGAGUUCAGUGAGAGCCCAGACACAAACCUCCCUGCAUUGGUUCCACUGUCUGUCUGCCCUGCCUGUGCUCAUCCUAUCCCAGUUCUCCUCUGUAUCUGCCCUGCCUGUGCUCAUCCUAUGCCAGGUCCACUCUGUGUCUGCCUUGCCUGUACUCAUCCUACUCCAGUUCGACUCUGUAUCUGCCCUGCCACUGUGA